GCCCGGGUAGCUCAGUUGGUAGAGCAGUGGACUGAAAAUCCGCGUGUCGGUGGUUCGAAUCCGCCCCCGGGCA
rfam:Thalassospira alkalitolerans strain JCM 18968 contig2, whole genome shotgun sequence.